UGGGGAAUUUUGCACAAUGGGCGCAAGCCUGAUGCAGCGACGCCGCGUGAGGGAUGAAGGCCUUCGGGUUGUAAACCUUUUUCGCUCAUGGUCAAGCCGCAGCUUUGGGUUGUGGUGAGGGUAGUGGGUAAAGAAGCCCCGGCUAACUACGUGCCAGCAGCCGCGGUAAUACGUAGGGGGCUAGCGUUGUCCGGAAUCACUGGGCGUAAAGGGUUCGCAGGCGGCAAUGCAAGUCAGAUGUAAAAGGCAAAGGCUCAACCUUUGUAAGCAUCUGAAACUGUAAAGCUUGAGAAGUGUAGAGGCAAGUGGAAUUUUUGGUGUAGCGGUGAAAUGCGUAGAUAUUAAAAAGAAUACCGGUGGCGAAGGCGACUGGCUGGGCACAAUCUGACGCUGAGGAACGAAAGCGUGGGGAGCAAACAGG
rnacentral:rRNA from 1 species